UUGUAUUUACAAAUGGUACUGUCCUGCUGCAGAGUAAAUUAGUUUACUCAAGCCUAAUAGAGGCACAUAUGUAGGCGCACAAUAUUUACUGCACAGCUAAUU